rnacentral:tRNA from 1 species
GAGGGUAUAGCUCAGUGGUAGAAUGUGUGCUUAGCAUACACAAGGUCCUGGGUUCAAUCCCCAGUACCUCCA